CCUACGGGUGGCAGCAGUGGGGGAUAUUGCACAAUGGGGGGAACCCUGAUGCAGCGACGCCGCGUGGGUGAAGGAGUGCUUCGGCAUGUAAAGCCCUAUCGGCAGGGAAGAAGCAAGAGGGAACUGGACCAAGAAGCCCGGGCAAAAUACGGGCCAGCAGCCGCGGUAAUACGUAGGGGGCGAGCGUUAUCCGGAUUCACUGGGGGUAAAGGGAGCGUAGACGGCCAUGCAAGCCAGGGGUGAAAGCCCGGGGCCCAACCCCGGGACUGCCCUUGGAACUGUGCGUCGAGAGUGCGGGAGAGGCAGGCGGAAUUCCUGGUGUAGCGGUGAAAUGCGUAGAUAUCAGGAGGAACACCGGCGGCGAAGGCGGCCUGCUGGACCGUGACUGACGUUGAGGCUCGAAAGCGUGGGGAGCGAACAGGAUUAGAUACCCUAGUAGUC
rnacentral:rRNA from 1 species